rnacentral:rRNA from 1 species
UACGUAGGGGGCUAGCGUUGUCCGGAAUCAUUGGGCGUAAAGCGCGUGUAGGCGGCCCGGUAAGUCCGCUGUGAAAGUCGGGGGCUCAACCCUCGAAUGCCGGUGGAUACUGUCGAGCUUGAGUACGGAAGAGGCGAGUGGAAUUCCUGGUGUAGCGGUGAAAUGCGCAGAUAUCAGGAGGAACACCAAUUGCGAAGGCAGCUCGCUGGGACGUAACUGACGCUGAGACGCGAAAGCGUGGGGAGCAAACAGG